AGAGUUUGAUCAUGGCUCAGGACGAACGCUGGCGGCGUGCCUAACACAUGCAAGUCGAGCGGAGAAGAGCAUUUAUGUUCUUUUCAGCGGCGGACGGGUGAGUAACACGUGGGUAACCUGCCUCGAAAUGGGGGAUAGCCUUCCGAAAGGGAGAUUAAUACCGCAUAACCUCGGAUCUCCGCAUGGAGGACCGAGAAAAGGAGAAAUCCGUUUCGAGAUGGACCCGCGGCGCAUUAGCUAGUUGGUGAGGUAACGGCCCACCAAGGCCACGAUGCGUAGCCGACCUGAGAGGGUGAUCGGCCACAUUGGAACUGAGACACGGUCCAGACUCCUACGGGAGGCAGCAGUGGGGAAUAUUGCACAAUGGGCGAAAGCCUGAUGCAGCAACGCCGCGUGAGUGAUGAAGGCCUUCGGGUCGUAAAGCUCUUUGAUCAGGGACGAUAAUGACGGUACCUGAAAAACAAGCCACGGCUAACUACGUGCCAGCAGCCGCGGUAAUACGUAGGUGGCAAGCGUUGUCCGGAUUUACUGGGCGUAAAGAAUGCGUAGGUGGAUAUUUAAGUGGGAUGUGAAAUCCCCGGGCUCAACCCGGGAACUGCAUUCCAAACUGGAUAUCUGGAGUGCAGGAGAGGAAAGUGGAAUUCCUAGUGUAGCGGUGAAAUGCGUAGAUAUUAGGAGGAACACCAGUGGCGAAGGCGACUUUCUGGACUGUAACUGACACUGAGGCAUGAAAGCGUGGGGAGCAAACAGGAUUAGAUACCCUGGUAGUCCACGCCGUAAACUAUGGGUACUAGGUGUAGGGGGUAUCGACUCCCCCUGUGCCGUCGUUAACACAAUAAGUACCCC
rnacentral:rRNA from 1 species